rnacentral:rRNA from 1 species
CCUACGGGCGGCUGCAGUGGGGAAUAUUGCACAAUGGGGGAAACCCUGAUGCAGCGACGCCGCGUGAGUGAAGAAGUAAUUCGUUAUGUAAAGCUCUAUUAGCAGGGAAGAAAAUGACGGUACCUGAGUAAGAAGCCCCGGCUAACUACGUGCCAGCAGCCGCGGGAAUACGUAGGGGGCAAGCGUUAUCCGGAUUUACUGGGUGUAAAGGGAGCGUAGACGGCAGUGCAAGUCUGGAGUGAAAGGCGGGGGCUCAACCCCAGGGCUGCUCUGGAAACUGUACGGCUGGAGUGCAGGAGAGGUGAGUGGAAUUCCUAGUGUAGCGGUGAAAUGCGUAGAUAUUAGGAGGAACACCAGUGGCGAAGGCGGCUUACUGGACUGUAACUGACGUUGAGGCUCGAAAGCGUGGGGAGCAAACAGGAUUAGAUACCCCUGUAGUC